AACCAGCACCUCAAGUGGUCAGGAUGAUUAUUGGGCCUAAAGCAUCCGUAGCUCGUUUUGUAAGUUUUCGGUUAAAUCCAUACGCUUAACGUAUGGGCUGCCGGGAAUACUGCAUAACUAGGAAGUGGGAGAGGUAGACGGUACUCGGUAGGAAGGGGUAAAAUCCUUUGAUCUAUUGAUGACCACCUGUGGCGAAGGCGGUCUACCAGAACACGUUCGACGGUGAGGGAUGAAAGCUGGGGGAGCAAAC
rnacentral:rRNA from 1 species